UUCAAAAAUUUUGAUUUUAAUUUAUCUAAAUUUUCCGUAUAUAAAAAUGAAUGGUAGAAUAACAAACUUUUUAUUAUCCAUUGGUGGACGCCAGAUACGUACACUAAGCACGAAUGGAUUAAUGGAUGCAGAAAAAUACAAAAACUUAAAAAAGAAAACCAACGAGUAUGCGAAUUUGGCUGACGAAAAGAAUCAAGGCACAAUCAAGCGCAAUCAAAAACUUCCAAGUUCUGCCUUGAACGAAAACGCAAGAAAGAUGCCAGCAGACAAUGAAAGGAAUCAAGGCACUUCAUCUGGCAGUCGGCAGCAAAUUAGUACCCGGACCAAACGCAGGAGAGUGACGUGUACUGUUUCUAGACAAUUCGGCUCUUAUAGCCAUUCUCGUCUGGAUAAUAUUUUUUAUAAGAAUUGCAAAAUCACUACUACUUCUGCGUUAGCCCGGGUUAUCGCUGAGAAGAAGAAAGCUGCAGAUGAUUUGAACACACCUUCACGUCCGAAGCGACGAUAUUAGUCGAUAUGAAAUGAACGAUGAUCUGGCAUGAAUGUAUCUGGCAACAAUGUAUCUGGCAGGAAUGUGUCUGGUAUGAAUGGAUCUGAAAUGAAUGUAU